UUUAGUGAAAGCUCGGGUCUUCUAUUCUCGGGUCGAAUUUGCCAGCGGCUGUGGCCGGAUAGGAGAGCCGAAGGCCGCGCCGCUCCUGCUGCGCUACGGUGGUGGCAGAGAGGGCGAAGAGGAGGGGAAGAGGAGGGGUUAGGAUGUGGGAGAGGGGUGGAGGCGGAGGGCGGAGGCGUGCGGGCCGUCUAGGGAGAGGGAGAGGGCCACGGGGGCGGGUGAGCGGAGGGGAGGGGGGAGCAAGCGGCAGCGGCGGCAGUUGCUGCUGCUCGUGCUGAUGCUGCUGCUACAGCAGGAGCCGCUGACGGAGCAGAAGCUCCUGCUCCGGAAGCUCCGGGGGCUGGAGCUGGAGCCGGAGCCGGCGGGCAGGAGGGUGGGGUCGGCCUUCGCUGGCCGCCGGGCACCGCCCCCGUCGGACCACGGCCUCGCCACCUUCCUGCGGCACCUCCUCUAGUUGGACUGCUUCUUCCUCUUCGCGGCGUAGCGCGUGCCCGACGCGAAGCCCUCGGCGGAGCUGGCGGCCCACGGGAGGCGGCACCGGCGGGGGCUGCUCAUGGCGCGCAUGGCGCUCCCCUCCGACCUGCGGCUCGAGCCGGUGCCGCGCGCGCUGAUGGACCACAGAGGCGAGCUCUCGUCCAGGGCGCGCAUGUCGCUCCACUCCGACCUGCGCCUCGGGCCCGCGCAGCGCUCGUUGGUGCAGCUCGGCGAGCUCCUCUACAGGGAACGCGGCCUCUUCCACCUCCGAGGCGGCGGAGGCGGAGGGCCCUGUGCGCGCCGCGGGUCCUUAGGAUCCUGCCGCUACCUGAGCCAGUCAGAACUCCUGUAGCGCCUCGACAAAUUGUCAUCGGUCAUACAGGGUCCGCUCUGCCUCCUACCGUUCUCGCGCUCCUCAGCGGCCUUCGACAAGUGCCUACUCCUUUUCCAAGAAGACUUGUCCUCUAAUGGACUAGACCUUCCACGACGAAGGUCAUUCACCGACGGUGAAGUGUGGGAACGACGUAGUCCUCUGAAGAUAGAUAACCUGUUAGAAGACUUUGUAUUCCACCUACAUUUACGUGAACUAUUCCUACCAAACGGUCGUUAAGUAUUUCGUUAAUAAAGCUUCUUCGUACGAUAGUAGUUGAUAGAGAAUUCCUUAAGUCGUUUAGGUAGACAGACACUAUCUCUACCACGUUGGGAUUACGUAAUACGACAGGUUUGUCGUACGUUAGUCUGAUAUUUUUGCGAUAACGAGAUGUUACAACUAUAGUUAGCAGGUCUACUAAUACCGACCUGUGGCAACGUAGAUCGGCACGUUUGUGUCUCUUGGCUAUAACACUCCGAUGAGAAUGAUUUUCCACGAUUAUCUUGAAACUUUUUAGUUUAGGAAGUUCGCCUGGUACAAUAUACAUGUUUGUAGUCGGGGCGGCAUCGUAUUAUUGACCGCAGGAACAAGCCAACGAGUAGGAAUAGUUACCUCAUAAACGAAGAGAAACGACACGUAGUUACGUGAAGUUAAAGCUUGUAGAGUCGAUCCUGGGGGAAGGUUUAGAUCUGUAUAAAUACAACACCGACCUCUUCUAUAACCCCUCUCCAAUAUGAAUUUCGGAUAUUACCAAAAGGUGUCCUUAAUAA
rnacentral:rRNA from 1 species